CAGCUGAAGGAGGAAAGGUGGAAGGGGCUGCAGGGUGGCCUGGGUCCUGGACCACUCCUUCUGACCUGACCCCAGCACUGGCCACUCAAUCCUGCUCCCAGUCAGUUCUCUGGCCUCGAGCACUGCACAGUGGCAUAGUGCAUGGUACAGUGCUCCCUAUGCCUUCAUUACUUCAAAGCAAACCCACUCUAUAGCUUAUCUGACUCUCCAAACACUAUCAAAAGGCAAACAGAACUGGACUGAUACCCCCAGAGAGGUUAAGCAAACUGCCCAAGGUUGCACAGCAUGUUAAACGCAAAGCCUGGAAUAGAAACUAGGCUGAGAUUUCAGGUGUUAUUUGGAAUCACCAGGAAACCAUGUGUGGAAAGGCUUUCCUGAGACUGGAGGCAGAAGAUUAAGAGAGCUUCGUCCCCUUCCAGAAAUCCUUUCUUCUGCAAGUACACAGGCUCUGUCUGGCUUCAAACCCAAAGAAAUUCCAUUGCUGCUCACUGGCUCUCAGACUCGGGAAGCAGCCUGUUCCCUGUGGCUUCUUCCCUGGAGGAUGCAUUCAAUAAACAGAGCCCCUUUCUCAUCUUCCUGCAUAAAUAUUUCAGGAGAUGAAGAAACAAACAGAUCUGUGUUUGAUCUGCUGGCUACUCAGAAAUGGGGGCUCCUCUACACCAGCAGGACGGUCCCCUGCUCCCCCAGCACUACAGUGUCCACCAGUUUUUGGUGGGAAAUAUAAGAUGGCAGGGAGAGCCACCUUCCUCAUCUGGGUUGGGGAACCUGGUGAGAACUGGAGAGUAGAGCCCAGUUUUCAGCAGAAGCACCCUUCCCCCCACCACUUGCCAUUCCUAGAAAUGGAAGAACAUGGUCUGUUCAGAGGCUGUUGUUCUUGGGGCCACUUCAAUCGCUACUGCCCAAGACCACACUGCAGGGGACACAGGGUUCCACACAGACAGGCACCGCCUACAGGGAAGCGGGUGCAGAGCCUCCCAGGACAGGUUCUGCACCUUUGCGCUCCCAAGACUAUGCACGCACCUGUGACUCCCUCACAGCGGCAUGCCUAGGGCUCACACAAAUACCUGUAGAGUAAAUGAAUAUAUGAAUGGACGGGGAGGGAUGGUGCUUGACCCAGAAAGCUGAGAAGGAUCUUUUUUUCCAUUAAGAAAAUAAAAUAGAAAUAUAUUAAAUACUAAUAUUUUAU
rnacentral:lncRNA from 1 species